AGAGAGAGACAUGCGCGCAUAUCAAUAAGCGGAGGAAAAGAAACUAACUAGGAUUCCCUUCAGUAACGGCGAGUGAAGCGGGAAGAGCUCAAAUUUGAAAUCUUCAAGGUUUACCUUGACGAAUUGUAGUUUAAAGAAGUGUUUUCUGCUGGAGUUUUGGUAAAAGUUCUUUGGAAUAGGACAUCAUAGAGGGUGAGAAUCCCGUAUUUGACCAUUAUUUCAGCUUUGUGAUACACUUUCAAAGAGUCGGAUUGUUUGGGAAUGCAGUCCAAAAUGGGUGGUAAAUUUCAUCUAAAGCUAAAUAUUGGCGAGAGACCGAUAGCGAACAAGUACCGUGAGGGGAAGAUGAAAAGAACUUUGAAAAGAGAGUUAAACAGUACGUGAAAUUGUCAAAAGGGAAGCGUUUGACACCAGUGUUGUUUUCCUCGAAAAUCAAUUAAAAAUGGCUCGAUUUCUGUAUUGUUGAGACCUUAAAAGCUCACUGUACACUUUUCGUGUCUUUUUUAAUGCACUUUUCGUUUAACAAGUCAACAUCAGUUUCUUUUGUUGUAAAAGGGUCAUUGGAAGGUGGCUUUCUUUUCGGAGAAAGUGUUUAUAGCCUUUGGCCUCUGCAAUCGGAGAGACUGAGGUCUGCAGCGUAGACUCUUCGGGGUUAGAUACAUUUGUGCUAAGUUAUAGCUUUUUAUAGACAACUUGUUGACUAUAAUUAGUCUUGUAGCUUACUCGCUUAUGCUAUUUUACCUACGCUUAGGAUGUUGAAGUCAUCGUAUCGCGC
rnacentral:rRNA from 1 species